rnacentral:rRNA from 1 species
GACGAACGCUGGCGGCGUGCCUAAUACAUGCAAGUCGAGCGAAUCAAUGGGAGCUUGCUCCCUGAGAUUAGCGGCGGACGGGUGAGUAACACGUGGGUAACCUGCCUGUAAGACUGGGAUAACUUCGGGAAACCGGAGCUAAUACCGGAUACGUUCUUUUCUCGCAUGAGAAGAGAUGGAAAGAUGGUUCUGCUAUCACUUACAGAUGGACCCGCGGCGCAUUAGCUAGUUGGUGAGGUAACGGCUCACCAAGGCGACGAUGCGUAGCCGACCUGCGAGGGUGGUCGGCCACACUGGGACUGAGACACGGCCCAGACUCCGACGGGAGGCAGCAGUAGGUAAUCUUCCGCAAUGGACGAGAGUCUGACGGAGCAACGCCGCGGGAGCGAAGAAGGCCUUCGGGUCGUAAAGCUCUGUUUUUAGGGAAGAACAAGUACGAGAGUAACUGCUCGUACCUUGACGGUACCUAACCAGAAAGCCACGGCUAACUACGUGCCAGCAGCCGCCGUAA